rnacentral:rRNA from 1 species
CCUACGGGAGGCAGCAGUGGGGAAUAUUGCACAAUGGGGGAAACCCUGAUGCAGCGACGCCGCGUGAAGGAAGAAGUAUUUCGGUAUGUAAACUUCUAUCAGCAGGGAAGAAAAUGACGGUACCUGACUAAGAAGCCCCGGCUAACUACGUGCCAGCAGCCGCGGUAAUACGUAGGGGGCAAGCGUUAUCCGGAUUUACUGGGUGUAAAGGGAGCGUAGACGGCGACGCAAGUCUGGAGUGAAAGCCCGGGGCCCAGCCCCGGGACUGCUCUGGAAACUGCGGCGCUGGAGUACGGGAGGGGCAGGCGGAAUUCCUGGUGUAGCGGUGAAAUGCGUAGAUAUCAGGAGGAACACCGGCGGCGAAGGCGGCCUGCUGGACCGUGACUGACGUUGAGGCUCAAGAGCGUGGGGAGCAAACAGGAUUAGAUACCCUAGUAGUC